rnacentral:rRNA from 1 species
UACGUAGGAGACGAGCGUGGUCCGGAGUUACUGGGCGGAAAGGGUGCGCAGGCGGCCCUGCGCGUCGCGAGUGAAAUCUCCCGGCUCAACUGGGAGGGUGGUCGCGAGACGGCAGGGCUUGAGGCUCGGUGAGGGGCGUGGAAUUCCGGGUGGAGCGGUGAAAUGCGUAGAGAUCCGGAGGAACACCAACGGCGUAGGCAGCGCCCUCGACGAGACCUGACGCUCAGGCACGAAAGCGCGGGGAGCGAACAGG